GUCUAUGGCCAUACCCUCCAGAACAUGCCCAAUCUCAUCUGAUCUCUGCAGCUAAGCAGUGUUGUACCUGGUUAGUACUUGAGUGGGAGAUUUCUGUAUGUUGAACCAUCCUUGCAUCUUUGGGAUGAAGCCA
rnacentral:rRNA from 1 species